rnacentral:rRNA from 1 species
CCUACGGGAGGCAGCAGUGAGGAAUAUUGGUCAAUGGACGAGAGUCUGAACCAGCCAAGUAGCGUGAAGGAUGAAGGAUCUAUGGUUUGUAAACUUCUUUUAUAUGGGAAUAAAGUGAGGAACGUGUUCCUUUUUGUAUGUACCAUAUGAAUAAGCAUCGGCUAACUCCGUGCCAGCAGCCGCGGUAAUACGGAGGAUGCGAGCGUUAUCCGGAUUUAUUGGGUUUAAAGGGUGCGUAGGUGGUUAAUUAAGUCAGCGGUGAAAGUUUGUGGCUCAACCAUAAAAUUGCCGUUGAAACUGGUUGACUUGAGUAUAUUUGAGGUAGGCGGAAUGCGUGGUGUAGCGGUGAAAUGCAUAGAUAGCACGCAGAACUCCGAUUGCGAAGGCAGCUUACUAAACUAUAACUGACACUGAAGCACGAAAGCGUGGGGAUCAAACAGGAUUAGAUACCCCAGUAGUC